rnacentral:rRNA from 1 species
CGAGACCUCAGGUCAGACGGGGCUACCCGCUGAGUUUAAGCAUAUCAAUAAGCGGAAAAAGAAACUAACAAGAUUCCCUA